rnacentral:misc_RNA from 1 species
GCCUAAAAAACCAAAAAAGAGAAAAAGGGGCAUGAAAAUGCAGCAUAGUAUACUUCAGACAACAUUAAACUAAUAAUGGGAAAUGAGAUGGGAAAAAAUAGAGGGAAAAUGUAUGUUGGAUUGAUCAUCAAAACCUUUAGACAAUGCAUUCACAAGGCUAUAUGAAAACAAUGCCCUGAUGAACUUUUGCCUCAAAACAAGGCCUGAUAGAAAAUACUGGCUUCAUGUCAAUAGAAAAUCGCAAUCAGACUGUUGAGUCUUGACAACAAAUUAUAUGUUCACUUUUUUCAUUGCUCCUGUAAGAAUUUGUAAGUCAAUUCAUAAUUUCAGCAGCAUUUUUGCAACAACAACAAUGGUUAAAGCAUGACAACAUGGAUUCUAGAAAAUUUCUUGAUUAAUUUCACUAUUUGAGACUUUUUAAAUGACAUAAAACGGAAUAUCAAUUUCAUCUACAUCAAAGAUGCAAAUGCACAUAAAAAAUAAAUUAGCAAUUUCAUCUACCACAUACAAGCACCCUUCUAGAUAACCUUUUAAUUAAA